AUUGAACGCUGGCGGCAGGCCUAACACAUGCAAGUCGAGCGAGCGGCGGACGGGUGAGUAAUGUCUGGGAAACUGCCUGAUGGGGGGGGGUAACUACUGGAAACGGUAGCUAAUACCGCAUACCCUCAGAUGUGCCCAGAUGGGCUUAGCUAGUAGGUGGGGUAAUGGUUCACCUAGGGGACGAUCCCUAGCUGGUCUGAGAGGAUGACCAGCCACACUGGAACUGAGCCACGGUCCAGACUCCUAUGGGAGGCAGCAGUGGGGAAUAUUGCACAAUGGGCGCAAGCCUGAUGCAGCCAUGCCGCGUGUGUGAAGAAGGCCUUCGGGUUGUAAAGCACUUUCAGCGGGGAGGCGUUACCCGCAGAAGAAGCACCGGCUAACUCCGUGCCAGCAGCCGCGGUAAUUC
rnacentral:rRNA from 1 species